rnacentral:SRP_RNA from 1 species
GCCGGGCGUGGUGGCACGUGCCUGUAGUCCCAGCUACUCGGGAGGCUGAGGCAGGAGGAUCACUUGAGCCCAGGAGUUCUGGGCUGUAGUGCGCUAUGCCAGUCGGGUGUCCGCACUAAGUUUGGCAUCAAUAUGGUGACCUCCCGGGAGCGGGGGACCACCAGGUUGCCUAAGGAGGGGUGAACCGGCCCAGGUCGGAAAUGGAGCAGGUCAAAACUCCCGUGCUGAUCAGUAGUGGGAUCGCGCCUGUGAAUAGCCACUGCACGUCAGCCUGGGCAACAUAGUGAGACCCCGUCUCU